CAGCCCAGAUCUGCCUUCACACCAAUUUCUGCCCCGCUGAAAAACUACUGAAGCCUUCAGAAGACUUCUUCCAGCUUUCUCCUCCCUUUGCAAGGCUGAUUGAUCCGGCUUCUGUCCCCGUUGCCAGGUGCCUGUCCUUUCCAAGUGACAACACCCAAGGAAACCACAGGCGCUCCAGAAGAACAAAGCAAACAGGUGCGUUGGCGUUUCCUCAAGCAGAAAUGCCCAGUAUGGUCAUCAAAAGUCUGGAAGAACUUCAUUUGGUCAUCAAGAGUUUCAUUCAUUCGCUGACGUAUUCCAAGAGAUAAGCUGAACCCUCUUCCAUGACAUAACCAUGUCAUUUGAAUUGACAGUUUAAGACUGAACCAAUACCAGACUUCAAACUGAGGAACAAGAACCACUGGGCAGCCUGGAACGGAGACAUCUCGCUCCAAUGUCUUCUGACCACUUUAAUACCGUUGAACUGUUGAGGUCAAUGCUGCAAAACUCAAGUAAGGGCCACCGGGACCGACUAAUCUAGAACUUCGCUCCUACUGGGAAGAGCUACACAGUAUUCACCUGCAAACUUCCUCCUCACCCGAGAACAUCCUGCUUGGAGAAAAUGGACUGAAAUAGGAAAAAAAAAAUCUAAAUGAAAUCGGAAAGGGAGGGCUGGGCUGAAGGUUUUUUCUCCUUACCGAUAAGUAGUCCAGGGUCUCUGUCGCAAAACCAAACUUUCAUUUCAGGUCUUUAACAAAACUGAUAAAAAAAGAGGAGGGAAGGGAAUACAUUUUCACAGCCCAGAUGGCUCCACUAAAUCAUUUAUAACACCCAAUCGA